UCUUCUUGGAUGAGUUGCGAACGGGUGAGUAACGCGUAGGUAACCUGCCUUGUAGCGGGGGAUAACUAUUGGAAACGAUAGCUAAUACCGCAUAACAAUGGAUGACACAUGUCAUUUAUUUGAAAGGGGCAAUUGCUCCACUACAAGAUGGACCUGCGUUGUAUUAGCUAGUAGGUGAGGUAACGGCUCACCUAGGCGACGAUACAUAGCCGACCUGAGAGGGUGAUCGGCCACACUGGGACUGAGACACGGCCCAGACUCCUACGGGAGGCAGCAGUAGGGAAUCUUCGGCAAUGGGGGCAACCCUGACCGAGCAACGCCGCGUGAGUGAAGAAGGUUUUCGGAUCGUAAAGCUCUGUUGUAAGUCAAGAACGAGUGUGAGAGUGGAAAGUUCACACUGUGACGGUAGCUUACCAGAAAGGGACGGCUAACUACGUGCCAGCAGCCGCGGUAAUACGUAGGUCCCGAGCGUUGUCCGGAUUUAUUGGGCGUAAAGCGAGCGCAGGCGGUUUGAUAAGUCUGAAGUUAAAGGCUGUGGCUCAACCAUAGUUCGCUUUGGAAACUGUCAAACUUGAGUGCAGAAGGGGAGAGUGGAAUUCCAUGUGUAGCGGUGAAAUGCGUAGAUAUAUGGAGGAACACCGGUGGCGAAAGCGGCUCUCUGGUCUGUAACUGACGCUGAGGCUCGAAAGCGUGGGGAGCGAACAGGAUUAGAUACCCUGGUAGUCCACGCCGUAAACGAUGAGUGCUAGUGUUGGAUCCUUUCCGGGAUUCAGUGCCGCAGCUAACGCAUUAAGCACUCCGCCUGGGGAGUACGACCGCAAGGUUGAAACUCA
rnacentral:rRNA from 1 species